UCACCUGAACAGGGGAGUACCCCUCAGGGAGAACAGCAGCCUAAACUAUCAUAUUUUCCAGUUUAUCAGAUGCUGGAUUAAAGGAAUUUCACUGUUGUAUCAAUCAAGUGAUGGAAACACACCAGUCUAGCCUGAACUCCCUUUGAAUAGUGAUUUGUGCCCGUGUAAAGACCACGACAUUAUGAAAAGGAUAGUAUCGGAAUAUGUCUCGGGCCACUUUCACACAGGGGGGGAGAUUUAUCAGAACUGGUGUAACGGAAAAUUGGCUUAGUUGUCCAAAGCAACCAAUCAGAUUCCACCUUUCAUUUUUUAGAGCUCCAUUGUAAAAUGAAAGGUGGAAUCUGAUUGGUUGCUAUAGGCAACUAAGUCAGUUUUCCUUUAAACCAGCUUUGAUAAAUCUCCCCCAAUCAGUGUUGCUGUGCAACUCAAAAACCAGAAGUGGACCUUCAGAGAAAAAAUGUAAAGAAGAGACAUGUACCUCUUCCAUUUUCUUGACCCACUCCCUCCUGGUUUUUACUUACAAACACAAAAUACUGAGGGGCAUUUGUUUUUGGCGUAAAAAUUGUUGCACGCCCCUUUUUGGGGACUUUUUUUAUGCUGCAUCUGACAC